ACUUGGCCCUUGGGACAGGGUGACACUGGGGUGGUGGCACCUUGGGGACACCUGGGGACAUUCAGGGGUGGCACCUUGGGGACAGCUGGGGACAGGGAGGGGGUGGUGGCACCUUGGGGACACUUCAUUGACACGGGUGACAUUGGGGUGGUGGCACCUUGGGGACACUUUGGGGACAUUUAUUGACACGGUGGCACUGCCGUGGUGGCACCUUGGGGACA